rnacentral:lncRNA from 1 species
GCCAAGCUGCGCGCCAACCAGAAGGGCUACGCCGACUACAAGCUGCGGCUGGCCAAAGCCACGCUGACACUCAUCCCCCUCUUUGGGAUCCACGAAGUCGUCUUCAUCUUUGCCACCGACGAGCAAACCACGGGCAUCCUGCGCUACAUCAAGGUCUUCUUCACCCUCUUCCUCAACUCCUUCCAGGGUUUCCUGGUGGCCGUGCUGUACUGCUUUGCCAACAAGGAGGUACGUGGCUCUGGUUUUGGGUUGGGGCUGUGAAAGGGAGUAGCUUUAACUUUGGCUCGUGGGGGUGGGCUCUGCUCGUGCGAGGGAGGGCAUUGCCAGGGAAAAGCCAUCGGUAUCUCGCUCCAGGUGAAGUCAGAGAUGAAGAAGAAGUGGCAGCUGUGGAAACUCGACCACCCCACGCUCUGCUGCACGCAGUGACAGCAGCACCGCAGGGCUCUGCUCCGGCUGCUGGAGGGUCUGAUCCCAAUGCACACAGUGGGGGAGCAGCCACCAGCAGCCCCACGUAUGUGUGCAGAGCUGCAAGGAGCAGAGCCUGCUGCCACCAGACCCAGCCGUGCACUGGCACCCUACCAGUGCUGGUACCCGUGCAGCAGGAUGGGAGCACGGCCGUCGCAUCCCGAGGUGUGCCAGCACCACACUGGGCAUUGCACUCCUGCUCUCCUCACCUAAGCCAGGGCCACCUUGCCACCUCUCUGCAUCGAGGUGCUGCAGCAGCUGCUCACCACCGCCUUCACUCCAGCGCACUGCACAGAGCAACCCCCACCACCCUCGUCGUGUCCCUCUGGCUGCCAGCUCUCCUCCCCAGCGCAGCACCUCCUGCAGCAGCCUGA